AAUUCCAAACCCCAGAUCUAAACCUAAAAACAAAAUAAACUUUGUCAUGUAUCGUCUCUUUCACUACAGAUCUCGUUAAUCCCCUCCAACCCUAUCGUCUUCGCCCUCGCCCACCAUCUCUCCCGCAACCCAACACCGGUAAUCGCUCCUUCCUUCACGUCACUAAGUGACAUUAGAUGUGUUAAUGGAAAACGAUGUUGAAUGUAAGGGUUAAAACCUUGGAAACUCUUGGAGUGAGAUUGAUGAAGUUAGUUGGAGUAUAAAACUUUCAAUUUAUUAUUAUAUGCCCUGUUUUCUCUCCAUGGCGAUUAGAGGCUAUUGGUACUUUAUCGGUGACGAGCUUAGUUGGGUGAUUUCUCAUAUGUUAGUUUGUUGAAAAAGGUAUGUGUCUUUUAAAUUUGACAGAAUAUAAAUGCCACUGCUAGAAAAAUUUUUUUAUUUCUUGAGACUCACUAUGAAAUAUGUCAUAGUUUGUGAAACUCAGUCUUAGUUCAAGUUCACAAACAAUAUGCAUUAUAUUGAUGGAAAUCAACACCUGUGAUUGAUAGAAAAUGUCUAAUGUAUGAGUUGGAUCUAGUUUUAAUGAUUGAAAGUGUUUAUGUGUAUUUUCUUUUUUAUCUAUUUCUCUAUAACACUCUUACUGAUUGAAAUUUCUUUCAGGGAAUGACAAUAAUCAAUUUCUUUGACAUAUGCAUUAUUAUGAGAUAAAGAAGACAGAGUCUCAAGCUUUGUGUUAUAGAAAGUCUUAUUCAUUUUAUACUUAGAGUGUGCUACUAAUUUUUAUACUAGGUAAAUGGUCACUUUGGUUUAAAUUUAACUCAGGAAGAUAUCAAGACAUUCAUAUUCAUAUUCACAUGUGAUUUAUUAGGUUUGGAGUAACAUUUUAUGAUAUUUUCUUCUAUAUAGUCUAUGGAUCGUUGGACUUUUACGUUUAAAGAUAUUAUGUUCUUUUUCUUUGAGAUAUAUUUGAGGUAAUAUUUAUGCUUAUAUUGAUUAACAUUUUGCAUUAGGGAAGCUUCACGAGAGUUGAAAAAUAUGUCAAACGAAGUGUCAUACCCCAAUUUUUGACCUAAGAUACCACCUCAUAUCAUUUGCAUAUGCAUCAUUUGCAUCUCUAACAAAUUGCAUAGCUUGUGUUUGCUACUUGUGACUCAGCAGGAUUUGAUCAGGAA